CUGUGCAACCUGCUAGCUCUCC
rnacentral:miRNA from 1 species